rnacentral:rRNA from 1 species
UUGACCUCAAAUCGGGUGAGACUACCCCGCUGAACUUUAAGCA